UGGGGAAUUUUGGACAAUGGGCGCAAGCCUGAUCCAGCCAUGCCGCGUGCGGGAAGAAGGCCUUCGGGUUGUAAACCGCUUUUGUCAGGGAAGAAAUCUUCUGAGUUAAUACCUCGGGAGGAUGACGGUACCUGAAGAAUAAGCACCGGCUAACUACGUGCCAGCAGCCGCGGUAAUACGUAGGGUGCAAGCGUUAAUCGGAAUUACUGGGCGUAAAGCGUGCGCAGGCGGUUUUGUAAGACAGAGGUGAAAUCCCCGGGCUCAACCUGGGAACUGCCUUUGUGACUGCAAGGCUUGAGUGCGGCAGAGGGGGGAUGGAAUUCCGCGUGUAGCAGUGAAAAUUGCGUAGAUAUGCGGAGGAACACCGAUGGCGAAGGCAAUCCCCCUGGGCCUGCACUGACGCUCAUGCACGAAAGCGUGGGGAGCAAACAGGAUUAGAUAGCCCUGGUAGUCCACGCCCUAAAACGAUGUCAAC
rnacentral:rRNA from 1 species